rnacentral:rRNA from 1 species
AACGAACGCUGGCGGCAUGCCUAACACAUGCAAGUCGAACGAGACCUUCGGGUCUAGUGGCGCACGGGUGCGUAACGCGUGGGAACCUGCCCUUAGGUUCGGAAUAACUCCCCGAAAGGGGUGCUAAUACCGGAUAAUGUCUUCGGACCAAAGAUUUAUCGCCUUUGGAUGGGCCCGCGUUGGUUUAGCUAGUUGGUAGGGUAAAAGCCUACCAAGGCGACGAUCCAUAGCUGGUCUGAGAGGAUGAUCAGCCACACUGGGACUGAGACACGGCCCAGACUCCUACGGGAGGCAGCAGUGGGGAAUAUUGGACAAUGAGCGAAAGCCUGAUCCAGCAAUGCCGCGUGAGUGAUGCAGGCCUUAGGGUUGUAAAGCUCUUUUACCCGGGAUGAUAAUGACAGUACCGGGAGAAUAAGCUCCGGCUAACUACGUG